CAAUAGCGUAUAUUAAAGUUGUUGCAGUUAAAAAGCUCGUAGUUGAACUUCAGGCCCGGCUGGGCGGUCUGCCUCGCGGUAUGUACUGUCUGGACGGGCCUUACCUCUUGGUGAGCCAGCAUGCCCUUCAUUGGGUGUGUUGGGGAACCAGGACUUUUACCUUGAGAAAAUCAGAGUGUUCAAAGCAGGCCUAUGCCCGAAUGCAUUAGCAGGGAAUAAUAAAAUAGGACGUGCGGUUCUAUUUUGUUGGUUUCUAGAGCUGCCGUAAUGAUUAAUAGGGACAGUUGGGGGCAUUAGUAUUCAGUUGCUAGAGGUGAAAUUCUUGGAUUUACUGAAGACUAACUAAUGCGAAAGCAUUUGCCAAGGAUGUUUUCAUUAA
rnacentral:rRNA from 1 species